UUAACUAAAAUUUGUAGGAAUUGGAACGUUUGCCUACGUUUGCCGCUAGGGACGCUGUUCUAACUGAAUAUAAAUUUGAGUUA
rnacentral:pre_miRNA from 1 species